UGGGGAAUUUUGGACGAAUUGGGCGAAAGCCUGAUCCAGCCAUCCCGCGUGUGCGAUGAAGGCCUUCGGGUUGUAAAGCACUUUUGGCAGGGAAGAAACAGCCUGGGAUAAUACCCCGGCGGACUGACGGUACCUGCAGAAUAAGCACCGGCUAACUACGUGCCAGCAGCCGCGGUAAUACGUAGGGUGCAAGCGUUAAUCGGAAUUACUGGGCGUAAAGCGUGCGCAGGCGGUUUCGGAAAGAAAGGUGUGAAAUCCCAGGGCUUAACCUUGGAACUGCACCUUUAACUACCGAGCUAGAGUACGUCAGAGGGGGGUAGAAUUCCACGUGUAGCAGUGAAAUGCGUAGAGAUGUGGAGGAAUACCGAUGGCGAAGGCAGCCCCCUGGGAUGAUACUGACGCUCAUGCACGAAAGCGUGGGGAGCAAACAGGAUUAGAUACCCCUGGGUAGUCCACGCCCUAAACGAUGUCAACUAGCUGUUGGGGUUUAUUAACCUUAGUAGCGCAGCUAACGCGUGAAGUUGACCGCCUGGGGGAGUACGGUCGCAAGAUUAAAACUCAAA
rnacentral:rRNA from 1 species